GGGAUUGCCUCAGUAACGGCGAGUGAAGCGGCAACAGCUCAAAUUUGAAAUCUGGCCCCGGGGUCCGAGUUGUAAUUUGUAGAGAGUGCUUCGGGGGAGACCACGGUCUAAGUCCAUUGGAACAUGGUGUCAUAGAGGGUGAGAAUCCCGUAUGCGACCGCGGCUCGAGCCCAUGUGAAGCCUCUUCGACGAGUCGAGUUGUUUGGGAAUGCAGCUCAAAAUGGGUGGUAAAUUUCAUCUAAAGCUAAAUACUGGCUGGAGACCGAUAGCGCACAAGUAGAGUGAUCGAAAGAUGAAAAGCACUUUGGAAAGAGAGUUAAAAAGUACGUGAAAUUGUUGAAAGGGAAGCGCUUGCAACCAGACCUGUCCGUAGGCGAUCAGCUGCUGUUCUCAGCGGUGCACUCGUUCUGCGAUCAGGCCAGCAUCGGUUCCGGCGGUCGGACAAAGGCCUUGGGAAUGUAGCUUCCUCCCGGGGAGUCUUAUAGCCCUCGGUGCAAUGCGGCCAGCCGGGACCGAGGACCGCGCUUCGGCUAGGAUGCUGGCGUAAUGGUUGUCAGCGACCCGUCUUGAAACACGGACCAAGGAGUCUAACAUCUAUGCGAGUGUUUGGGUGUCAAACCCAUACGCGGAAUGAAAGUGAACGGAGGUGAGAACCCCGGAGGGCGCAUCAUCGACCGAUCCAGAUGUCUUCGGAUGGAUUUGAGUAUGAGCAUAGCUGUUGGGACCCGAAAGAUGGUGAACUAUGCCUGAAUAGGGUGAAGCCAGAGGAAACUCUGGUGGAGGCUCGCAGCGGUUCUGACGUGCAAAUCGAUCGUCAAAUUUGGGUAUAGGGGCGAAAGACUAAU
rnacentral:rRNA from 1 species